GGAUCAUGUUAUGAAACAUUCGACGAGAACGUAUAUUUGAUACUGCUUUUCAAAUAAAACUGAGACUGUUCAACAAGCUGUUUUAUUCGAGCAUUGUCCGAGAAGUCCAGAUGAACGGGAUUGAUGUUCGAUUGCAACGAUCUUGAAACGCUGUAACCAUCUUCUUCCAUGGCAUCCCAUUGCACGUCGGCAAGGAAGGCAUGAUUGGGGUCCAAUGACAAGUCUAUCUGAAAAUAGAAUCUCAUGAGAAUCUCUUUCCUUUGUUCGACAAGGAAAGAUGCUCUUUUUAUCUGGACAUCUAAUCAGAUGUGAGUCGAUUAUUUUGAAAAGAUCGUGGAGCCUUCUAGAAACCAAAUGUCCGACCAGUUCUUCACGUUCACGACACCGCCCAGCCAUUGUUCUCCUAUCAAGCUUAUCAGAGCGCUUAACGCGUCUGUCUUCGUGACCAUGGGAGAU